UGAGGAAUCUUGCGCAAUGGGGGCAACCCUGACGCAGCAACGCCGCGUGAGUGAGGAAGGUCUUCGGAUCGUAAAGCUCUGUCAGUUGGGAAGAAAUGCCUGGCGGUUAAUACCCAUCAGGCUUGACGGUACCAACAGAGGAAGCACCGGCUAACUCCGUGCCAGCAGCCGCGGUAAUACGGGGGUGCAAGCGUUGUUCGGAAUUAUUGGGCGUAAAGAGCGUGUAGGCGGCCUGAUAUGUCAGAUGUGAAAGCCCUGGGCUUAACUCAGGAAGUGCAUUUGAAACUGUCAGGCUCGAGUAGGGGAGAGGGAAGUGGAAUUCCUGGUGUAGAGGUGAAAUUCGUAGAUAUCAGGAGGAACACCGGUGGCGAAGGCGACUUCCUGGCCCUAUACUGACGCU
rnacentral:rRNA from 1 species